UUGCCUAGUGGUAAGGCUCUGAAUUCUCGUGCAGAAGGUCGUCGGUUCGAGCCCGGCU
rnacentral:tRNA from 1 species